rnacentral:rRNA from 1 species
CUGAGGUGGGAGUCGUUAGUUCAGUGUUUCGCUGCGACUAUAUGUACUCUACCUUACACAGUCAUUAGACGCCUUGCGGUGCUCUUUAUUGAGUGCUGUAGGGUGCAUGGCACGUUUACUUUGAAAAAAUUAGAGUGCUCAAAGCAGGCCUCAGUGCUUGUAUAAUCUUGCAUGGAAUAAUGGAAUAGGACUUCGGUUCUAUUUUGUUGGUUUUCGGAAUCGGAGUAAUGAUUAACAGAGACUGCCGGGGGCAUUUGUAUGGUGGCGUUAGAGGUGAAAUUC